UACGUAGGGUGCAAGCGUUGUUCGGAAUUACUGGGCGUAAAGGGCUCGUAGGCGGCCAACUAAGUCAGACGUGAAAUCCCUCGGCUUAACCGGGGAACUGCGUCUGAUACUGGAUGGCUGGAGUUUGGGAGAGGGAUGCGGAAUUCCAGGUGUAGCGGUGAAAUGCGUAGAUAUCUGGAGGAACACCGGUGGCGAAGGCGGCAUCCUGGACCAAUACUGACGCUGAGGAGCGAAAGCCGGGGGAGCAAACGGG
rnacentral:rRNA from 1 species